rnacentral:rRNA from 1 species
AGUGAACGCUGGCGGCGUGCCUAAUACAUGCAAGUCGAACGGAGUGGCGCACGGGUGAGUAAUGUAUAGCUAAUCUGCCCUACACUAGAGGACAACAGUUGGUAACGGCUGCUAAUACUCUAUAGUGUAGGAUGAGGCUAUAUUGUAUCAGCUAGUUGGUGGGGUAAUGGCUCACCAAGGCUAUGACGCAUAACUGGUAUGAGCGGAUGAUCAGUCACUGGAAGUGAGACACGGUCCGGACACCUACCGGAGGGAGCAGUAGGGAAUAUUGCUCAAUGGGGGAGACUCUGAAGCGGCAACGCGGCGUGGAGGAUGACACUUUUCGGAGCGUAAACUCCUUUUGUUAGGGAAGCGGUACCUAACGAAUAAGCACCGGCUAACUCCGUGCCAGCAGCCGCGGUAAUUC